AGUGAACGCUGGCGGUAGGCCUAACACAUGCAAGUCGAACGGCAGCACAGUAAGAGCUUGCUCUUACGGGUGGCGAGUGGCGGACGGGUGAGAAAUACAUCGGAAUCUACUUUUUCGUGGGGGAUAACGUCGGGAAACUUACGCUAAUACCGCAUACGACCUACGGGUGACAGCAGGAACUCUUCGCACCUUGCGCGACUCUAUGAGCCGAUGUCGGAUUAGCUAGUUGGCGGGGUACAGGCGCACCAAGGCGACGAUCCGUAGCUGCUCUGAGAGGAUGAUCAGCCACACUGGAACUGAGACACGGUCCAGACUCCUACGGGAGGCAGCAGUGGGGAAUAUUGGACAAUGGGCGCAAGCCUGAUCCAGCCAUACCGCGUGGGUGAAGAAGGCCUUCGGGUUGUAAAGCCCUUUUGUUGGGAAAGAAAAGCAGCAGGUUAAUACCCCGCUGUUCUGACGGUACCCAAAGAAUAAGCACCGGCUAACUUCGUG
rnacentral:rRNA from 1 species